GACGAACGCUGGCGGCGUGCUUAACACAUGCAAGUCGAACGGAAAGGCCCUGCUUUUGUGGGGUGCUCGAGUGGCGAACGGGUGAGUAACACGCGAGUAACCUGCCCUUGACUUUGGGAUAACUUCAGGAAACUGGGGCUAAUACCGGAUAGGAGCUCCUGCUGCACGGUGGGGGUUGGAAAGUUUCGGCGGUUGGGGAUGGACUCGCGGCUUAUCAGCUUGUUGGUGGGGUAGUGGCUUACCAAGGCUUUGACGGGUAGCCGGCCUGAGAGGGUGACCGGCCACCUUGGGACUGAGAUACGGCCCAGACGCCUACGGGAGGCAGCAGUGGGGAGUAUUGCACAAUAGGCGGAAGCCUGAUGCAGCAACGCCGCGUGCGGGAUGACGGCCUUCGGGUUGUAAACCGCUUUCGCCUGUAACGAAGCGUGAGUGACGGUAAUGAGUAAAGAAGCACCGGCUAACUACGUG
rnacentral:rRNA from 1 species